CAGAUACUGAACUCAGAGCAGGUGCUGAAUUAGUAUAUCAUCGCCUUCCUUGGAGAGAACCUGAUGCACCUUACUUGCUAGAAGUACUAUUUGAAGAUGACUACUUGAUUGUUGUAAAUAAACCUUCUGGUUUGCAAGUUCUUCCUGGAGGGUUAUAUCAGCAGCGGACCGUCUUGACGCAACUCCAGUGGCAUGCAUGUAAGCUGACAACCACUUCGUCAGGUUGUCAAAAAACACAUCCAGUCCCAGUUCAUCGCUUAGGAAGGGGUACAUCAGGAAUACUGCUCUGUGCAAAAACAAAGCUUUGUAAAUCUCGCCUUGCAGCAUAUUUUGCUGAGGGGACGUCAGUUGUUGAAGAAAAAUGCACCAACUCAGAGUGCAAUACAAUGAGGAAGAUUUGCAAGAUAUAUCGGGCGCUAGUAAGUGG
rnacentral:misc_RNA from 1 species